UUACCUACGGGAGGCAGCAGUGGGGAAUAUUGCACAAUGGGGGAAACCCUGAUGCAGCGACGCCGCGUGAGUGAAGAAGUAAUUCGUUAUGUAAAGCUCUAUCAGCAGGGAAGAAAAUGACGGUACCUGAGUAAGAAGCCCCGGCUAACUACGUGCCAGCAGCCGCGGUAAUACGUAGGGGGCAAGCGUUAUCCGGAUUUACUGGGUGUAAAGGGAGCGCAGGCGGUAUGGCAAGUCAGAUGUGAAAACCCAGGGCUCAACCCUGGGACUGCAUUUGAAACUGCCAUACUGGAGUGCCGGAGAGG
rnacentral:rRNA from 1 species